ACCCGCUGAACUUAAGCAUAUCAAUAAGCGGAGGAAAAGAAACCAACAGGGAUUGCUCUAGUAACGGCGAGUGAAGCAGCAAUAGCUCAAAUUUGAAAUCUGGCGUCUUCGACGUCCGAGUUGUAAUUUGUAGAGGAUGCUUCUGAGUGGCCACCGACCUAAGUUCCUUGGAACAGGACGUCAUAGAGGGUGAGAAUCCCGUAUGCGGUCGGAAAGGCGCUCUAUACGUAGCUCCUUCGACGAGUCGAGUUGUUUGGGAAUGCAGCUCUAAAUGGGAGGUAAAUUUCUUCUAAAGCUAAAUAUUGGCCAGAGACCGAUAGCGCACAAGUAGAGUGAUCGAAAGAUGAAAAGCACUUUGGAAAGAGAGUUAAAAAGCACGUGAAAUUGUUAAAAGGGAAGGGAUUGCAACCAGACUUGCUCGCGGUGUUCCGCCGGUCUUCUGACCGGUCUACUCGCCGCGUUGCAGGCCAGCAUCGUCUGGUGCCGCUGGAUAAGACUUGAGGAAUGUAGCUCCCUCGGGAGUGUUAUAGCCUCUUGUGAUGCAGCGAGCGCCGGGCGAGGUCCGCGCUUCGGCUAGGAUGCUGGCGUAAUGGUCGUAAUCCGCCCGUCUUGAAACACGGACCAAGGAGUCUAACAUCUAUGCGAGUGUUCGGGUGUCAAACCCCUACGCGUAAUGAAAGUGAACGGAGGUGAGAACCGCAAGGUGCAUCAUCGACCGAUCCUGAUGUCUUCGGAUGGAUUUGAGUAAGAGCAUAGCUGUUGGGACCCGAAAGAUGGUGAACUAUGCCUGAAUAGGGUGAAGCCAGAGGAAACUCUGGUGGAGGCUCGCAGCGGUUCUGACGUGCAAAUCGAUCGUCAAAUUUGGGUAUAGGGGCGAAAGACUAAUCGAACCAUCUAGUAGCUGGUUCCUGCCGAAGUUUCCCU
rnacentral:rRNA from 1 species